rnacentral:rRNA from 1 species
AUUGAACGCUGGCGGCAGGCCUAACACAUGCAAGUCGAACGAGUGGCGGACGGGUGAGUAAUGUCUGGGAAACUGCCCGAUGGCGGGGGAUAACUACUGGAAACGGUAGCUAAUACCGCAUACCAUCGGAUGUGCCCUGAUGGGAUUAGCUAGUAGGUGGGGUAACGGCUAACCUAGGCGACGAUCCCUAGCUGGUCUGCGAGGAUGACCGGCAACACUGGAACUGAGACACGGUCCAGAGUCCUACGGGAGGCAGCAGUGGGGAAUAUUGCACAAUGGGCGAAAGCCUGAGGCAGCCAUGCCGCGUGUAUGAUGAAGGCCUUCGGGUUGUAAAGUACUUUCAGCGAGGAGGCGUUACUCGCAGAAGAAGCACCGGCUAAAUCCGUGCCAGCAGCCGCGGUAAUAC